rnacentral:piRNA from 1 species
UCCCAGGUAAUCGUCCAUAUAGUGGUUGC